CGGUUUACCACCGGGUUGUACCAUAACCCUUUGUUGUCCGACUCUGUUGCCUCCGGGGCGACCCUGCCUUCGGGCGGGGGCUCCGGUUGGACACUUCACACUCUGUGCGAAACUUUGCAGUCUGAGUAAAUUUAAUUAAUAAAUUAAAACUUUCAACACCGGAUCUCUUGGUUCUGGCAUCGAUGAAGAACGCAGCGAAAUGCGAUAAGUAAUGUGAAUUGCAGAAUUCAGUGAAUCAUCGAAUCUUUGAACGCACAUUGCGCCCCCUGGUAUUCCGGGGGGCAUGCCUGUUCGAGCGUCAUUUCACCACUCAAGCGUCGCUUGGUAUUGGUCAACGCGGUCCGCCGCGUGCCUCAAAUCAACCGGCUGGUUAUUCUGUCCCGUAAGCGUUGUGGAAACUAUUUGUUAAAAGUGGUUCUGGAGGCUACGCCGUAAAACAACCCCAUUUCUAAGGUUGACCUAGGAUCACGGGGAUCCCCGGUUACUUAAGCAUACCGUUAGCGUAAGGAAGUUCAUAA
rnacentral:rRNA from 1 species